rnacentral:rRNA from 1 species
CCUACGGGAGGCUGCAGUGGGGAAUAUUACGCAAUGGGCGAAAGCCUGACGCAGCGACGCCGCGUGAGGGAUGAAGGCCUUCGGAUUGUAAACCUCUGUCAGCAGGGAGGAAAGGUCCCUGUGCUAUUCAGUAGUGCAUUGACGGUACCUACAAAGGAAGCACCGGCUAACUCCGUGCCAGCAGCCGCGGUAAUACGGAGGGUGCGAGCGUUAGUCGGAAUUACUGGGCGUAAAGCGCACGUAGGCGGUAUGUUAAGUCCAGGGUGAAAUCCCCGGGCUUAACGUGGGAACUGCCUUUGAAACUGGCAAGCUGGAGUGCGUGAGAGGAUAGUGGAAUUCCAGGUGUAGGAGGGAAAUGCGUAGAUAUCUGGAGGAACACC